rnacentral:rRNA from 1 species
GUCUGUAGCCAUGCCACCUUGAAUGUACCAGUCUUGUCUGACUUGAAAGCUAAGCAUGGUUGGGCCUGGUUAGUAUUUGAAUGGGAGACUACAGGCU